rnacentral:snoRNA from 1 species
ACGCACCGGAUACAAGCCUGACAGUCCCACAUAUCCUGGGUGUGUUGCACACCCUGGGUUAUGUUCCAUGGCUGCAUGGCUCUGAUUGGUGCGAGAGCAGCAUUCGCCCUGAGAUUUAAGCUUCUCAGUGGGAAGCAGCACUGUUGAGUUAUGGCUCAGAGGCACAGAC